AAUUAAGACUAGGGGUGUCCAUUAAGUUGGGCUGAGAGAGAAACGCGACUAAGUUUCUUAACCCUCAGGACCUGAUCUGGUUCAUACCAGCGUGGGGAAGUUAGCAUAACUUAAA
rnacentral:ncRNA from 2 species